AGAGUUUGAUCAUGGCUCAGAGCGAACGCUGGCGGCAGGCUUAACACAUGCAAGUCGAACGCACCUUUCGGGGUGAGUGGCAGACGGGUGAGUAACGCGUGGGUACCUGCCCUGAGGUGGGGGAUAACCCGGGGAAACUCGGGCUAAUACCGCAUAUGAUCGAGAGAUCAAAGAGGGCUCGCAAGAGCUCUUGCCAUAGGAGGGGCCCGCGUUCGAUUAGCUAGUUGGUAGGGUAAUGGCCUACCAAGGCGACGAUCGAUAGCCGGCCUGAGAGGGUGAUCAGCCACACUGGGACUGAGACACGGCCCAGACUCCUACGGGAGGCAGCAGUGGGGAAUAUUGGACAAUGGGCGCAAGCCUGAUCCAGCCAUGCCGCGUGAGUGAUGAAGGCCCUAGGGUUGUAAAGCUCUUUCGCACGCGACGAUAAUGACGGUAGCGUGAGAAGAAGCCCCGGCUAACUUCGUGCCAGCAGCCGCGGUAAUACGAAGGGGGCUAGCGUUGUUCGGAAUCACUGGGCGUAAAGGGCGCGUAGGCGGCUGUUCAAGUCGGGGGUGAAAGCCUGUGGCUCAACCACAGAAUGGCCUUCGAUACUGGACGGCUCGAGACCGGAAGAGGUAAGUGGAACUGCGAGUGUAGAGGUGAAAUUCGUAGAUAUUCGCAAGAACACCAGUGGCGAAGGCGGCUUACUGGUCCGGUUCUGACGCUGAGGCGCGAAAGCGUGGGGAGCAAACAGGAUUAGAUACCCCUGUAGUCC
rnacentral:rRNA from 2 species